rnacentral:lncRNA from 1 species
CGGGAGCCGCUUUCAGUGGGGACUUGAAUGCACUAACUGCUGACUCUCAGGACCUUCUAGAAGGAGGAGCUGGGCUCCCACUUUCUGAGCUCUGCUGGAACCGAUGCCCAAGGUCACCUGGGUCAUGAUGUUGAAUAUAUACAUGUGAGGAGAGGAUUGGUGCCCUGCUGUCUUCACUGGCACUCCCCAUCUUGUACACACAGUGGCUGCCUACUGCAGUUGCCUGCAGCUCUAUGCCUGAGGGUGUCCAUUGGCUUCCUUGGCUUCUUUGACUGUGGAAGUGAGCUCUUCUGCCAGAUGCAGGCUUGUUUCUGGGGAGAAAUCCUGAGCCAAACUCAGAGGAACAGGAGCUGCUUUCAGUUGGGACUUGAAUGCACUAACUGCUGACUCUCAGGACCUUCUAGAAGAAUGAGCUGGGGUCCCACUCUCCGAUUUCUGCGGGAACCAGAGGCCCAGCUUGUCCAUAUUUUGCUUGACCAUUUCAUCCUUGGCCCUGAUGUUCUUGUAAUUCUGUGGAAGCUUACCAUUAUUAUUGCCUCCUUGGGAAUUUGUGCAUUUCUCAUUUACCUCUGGAGAACUGUCCUUGCUGUGGGUCCAGAUGUGAGAGGGUUUCCUCAGCCCACCUGCAUGCCCUCUCAUAUGGGCCAAACUUUACCAGGCUUCAUUGGCUCUGGGCUACCUCAGCCUCCUCCACCUUGGUCGACAUGGGGGCCUCCCCCGCACCUCGUUCCUACAUGUGGGCCUCAGUUCCAUUCAGAAGGCUGUGGCGCUCAAGGGGACAACAGUGGCACCGCACCCAAGAAGGACCCAGAAAAGGACAAGGACAGUCAGUUUGAAGUUUGA